rnacentral:rRNA from 1 species
GACCUCAAAUCAGGUAGGAAUACCC